rnacentral:rRNA from 1 species
UCCAUWAUCAAGAACGAAAGUUAGAGGUUCGAAGGCGAUCAGAUACCGCCCUAGUUCUAACCAUAAACGAUGCCAGCCAGCGAUCCGGCUGUGUUCCUCAAAUGACACGCCGGGCAGCUUCCGGGAAACCAAAGCUUUUGGGUUCCGGGGGAAGUAUGGUUGCAAAGCUGAAACUUAAAGGAAUUGACGGAAGGGCACCACCAGGAAUGGAGCCUGCGGCUUAAUUUGACUCAACACGGGAAAACUUACCCGGCCCGGACACAGGAAGGAUUGACAGAUUAAGAGCUCUUUCUUGAUUCUGUGGGUGGUGGUGCAUGGCCGUUCUUAGUUGGUGGAGCGAUUUGUCUGGUUAAUUCCGAUAACGAACGAGACUCUAGCCUACUAAAUAGACGUUCCGAUCAUCUCCGUCGGACGUUCUUCUUAGAGGGACAAGCGGCGUUUAGCCGCACGAGACAGAGCAAUAACAGGUCUGUGAUGCCCUUAGAUGUCCGGGGCCGCACGCGCGCUACAUUGAAGGAAUCAGCGUGUGCUUUCCCUGUCCGACAGGACUGGGUAACCCGUUGAACCUCCUUCGUGCUGGGGAUAGGGGCUUGUAAUUGUUCCCCUUGAACGAGGAAUUCCCAGUAAGCACGAGUCAUAAGCUCGUGUUGAUUACGUCCCUGCCCUUUGUACACACCGCCCGUCGCUACUACCGAUUGAAUGAUUUAGUGAGGUCUUCGGACUGGCGCCCGGAGCGGCCCUCGGGUCGCGCCGGCGUGCCGGAAAGAUGACCAAACUUGAUCAUUUAGAGGAAGUAAAAGUCGUAACAAGGUUUCC